CCUACGGGGGGCAGCAGUGGGGAAUAUUGGACAAUGGGGGCAACCCUGAUCCAGCCAUGCCGCGUGUGUGAAGAAGGCCCUCGGGUUGGAAAGCACUUUCAGUGAGGAAGAACGCCUGGUGGUUAAUACCCAUCAGGAAAGACAUCACUCACAGAAGAAGCACCGGCUAACUCCGUGCCAGCAGCCGCGGUAAUACGGAGGGUGCGAGCGUUAAUCGGAAUUACUGGGCGUAAAGCGCGCGUAGGUGGCUUGAUAAGCCGGUUGUGAAAGCCCCGGGCUCAACCUGGGAACGGCAUCCGGAACUGUCAAGCUAGAGUGCAGGAGAGGAAGGUAGAAUUCCCGGUGUAGCGGUGAAAUGCGUAGAGAUCGGGAGGAAUACCAGUGGCGAAGGCGGCCUUCUGGACUGACACUGACACUGAGGUGCGAAAGCGUGGGUAGCAAACAGGAUUAGAUACCCCUGUAGUC
rnacentral:rRNA from 1 species